CUGCCACGAUGAGUAAGCCAGGACAGGAAUUUUGGUGGCGCCGCCGUGUGUCCAUUGCACCUGUCCUCGUGGGAUGUGGGCUGGUUCGGAGGGACUAUAGGUUCAACCGCAAGUUCAAAGUUCGUGUGGGAUUUGGGUUCUGUGCAAAGCAUUAGUCAUAUUUUUGGGGGGAGGAGGAGGAGGGUCGAUGGCGUCGCUGGCUAAAUUGUCACCUUUGCUGCUGUGACUCCUGGGGGGACUUGUUGAAAUAUUUCCCCCGUCUAGGGUCAGACAGAAUCGGUAGCCAGACAUGGGGAUUAGAGCGGAGACCAGUCGAAGCACACGUGCCUCGAAAAAUAAGCCAAACGAUAGGGGCUUUUAUUCAUUCCGGCUAUAAUAGUUGUCCGAUUGCAAUCGAAGGGGAAAUACAUACAAAUCUGCACAGGAUUUUCAGGGGUCACCCAGCACUCGCUUAACACGGGGCUACCUUCCUGGAAAACCUCUUCUUAAGCGAGACAUGGCCAAGGCCUGAAAUCUCAAGCAAUAAUUCAACAGACCCUCGAUCUUCAAGGAACUCCCGGACCCUAUCAUAGCUUUCAUUUAAAUGAGCAAAAUCUAAUAUAUCACGGAAUCUACAUUGUGGCACUUUUGUUCAAACUGUACCACAGCAUCUUUAGAUCUGUUCACCUACUGGAACACUUUUGGUUCUUGCUUCUGACAGCUCAAAUGUGUGAUUCCCCGGCAUCUAGACGCCACCGUGCGUACUGGUGCAUACAAGAAAGCUCUCAGGCAUCAAUCGACAAGGCUUUCAGCGUGUUAAAAGGCGGAAAAGCAAGCAAAUUUGUUACUCGUUUAAGACCGAGCUCGUGUUAAGCGAGGGCUAGUUGUAUGUGUAAUCGGAGUGUGUUUUGGGCAUCAUUUUCAGAGGAAAAAAAAUAAAAGAUAACUUUGUCAAAUGAAA
rnacentral:sRNA from 1 species